AGCAUGGUCUUAGCUUGCUAAGGCCGAUGGCGACCGGCGCACGGGUGAGUAACACGUAUCCAACCUGCCGUCUACUCUUGGACAGCCUUCUGAAAGGAAGAUUAAUACAAGAUGGCAUCAUGAGUUCACAUGUUCACAUGAUUAAAGGUAUUCCGGUAGACGAUGGGGAUGCGUUCCAUUAGAUAGUAGGCGGGGUAACGGCCCACCUAGUCUUCGAUGGAUAGGGGUUCUGAGAGGAAGGUCCCCCACAUUGGAACUGAGACACGGUCCAAACUCCUACGGGAGGCAGCAGUGAGGAAUAUUGGUCAAUGGGCGCAGGCCUGAACCAGCCAAGUAGCGUGAAGGAUGACUGCCCUAUGGGUUGUAAACUUCUUUUAUAAAGGAAUAAAGUCGGGUAUGUAUACCCGUUUGCAUGUACUUUAUGAAUAAGGAUCGGCUAACUCCGUGCCAGCAGCCGCGGUAAUACGGAGGAUCCGAGCGUUAUCCGGAUUUAUUGGGUUUAAAGGGAGCGUAGAUGGAUGUUUAAGUCAGUUGUGAAAGUUUGCGGCUCAACCGUAAAAUUGCAGUUGAUACUGGAUAUCUUGAGUGCAGUUGAGGCAGGCGGAAUUCGUGGUGUAGCGGUGAAAUGCUUAGAUAUCACGAAGAACUCCGAUUGCGAAGGCAGCCUGCUAAGCUGCAACUGACAUU
rnacentral:rRNA from 1 species